rnacentral:rRNA from 1 species
UACAGAGGGUGCGAGCGUUAAUCGGAAUUACUGGGCGUAAAGGGCUCGUAGGCGGCCAACUAAGUCAGAUGUGAAAUCCCUCGGCUUAACCGGGGAACUGCGUCUGAUACUGGAUGGCUUGAGGUUGGGAGAGGGAUGCGGAAUUCCAGGUGUAGCGGUGAAAUGCGUAGAGAUGUGGAGGAAUACCGAUGGCGAAGGCAGCCUCCUGGGCCGAUACUGACACUGAGGAGCGAAAGCGUGGGGAGCGAACAGG